UGUUUCUCAACGUUAUUUGGGGUUUUGAACAAGUGGUUCAUGGUUGAAGCCAAGUUCCCGUUGAUAUCUGCUACUGGGCUCAUCGUGGUUGCUUGAAUCGACGUGGGAUAUACUCACAAGAACAAAUUCCUAAAGCCAAAAGCCAAGCGAUGAAGCAGAACUAGUAAGCUAAAAUGAGAAAC